AACGAACGCUGGCGGCAUGCCUAACACAUGCAAGUCGAACGAGACCUCCGGGCCUAGUGGCGCACGGGUGCGUACCGCGUGGGAAGCUGCCCUUAGGUUCGGUAUAACUCCCCGUAAGGGGUGCUAAUACCGGAUAAUCUCAUCGGACCAAAGAUUUUCGGCUUGGGGUGGGGCCGCGUUAGGUUUGCUCGUUGGUAGGGGAAAAGCCUACCAAGGCGACGGUUCAUGGCUGGUUUGCGAGGAGGAUCAGUCACACUGGGACUGAGACACGGCCCAGACUCCUACGGGAGGCAGCAGUAGAGAAUAUUGGACGAUGGGCGAUAGCCUGAUCCAGCAGUGCCGCGUGAGUGAUGAAGGGCUUAGGGUUGUAAAGCUCUUUGACCCGGGAUGAUAAUGACAGUACCGGGAGAAUAAGCUCCGGCUAACUCCGUG
rnacentral:rRNA from 1 species